AGUGAACGCUGGCGGUAGGCCUAACACAUGCAAGUCGAACGGCAGCACAGUAAGAGCUUGCUCUUACGGGUGGCGAGUGGCGGACGAGUGAGGAAUACAUCGGAAUCUACUUUUUCGUGGGGGAUAACGUAGGGAAACUUACGCUAAUACCGCAUACGACCUACGGGUGAAAGCAGGGGAUCUUCGGACCUUGCGCGAUUGAAUGAGCCGAUGUCGGAUUAGCUAGUUGGCGGGGUAAAGGCCCACCAAGGCGACGAUCCGUAGCUGGUCUGAGAGGAUGAUCAGCCACACUGGAACUGAGACACGGUCCAGACUCCUACGGGAGGCAGCAGUGGGGAAUAUUGGACAAUGGGCGCAAGCCUGAUCCAGCCAUACCGCGUGGGUGAAGAAGGCCUUCGGGUUGUAAAGCCCUUUUGUUGGGAAAGAAAAGCAGCAGGUUAAGACCCCGCUGUUCGGACGGUACCCAAAGAAGAGGCACCGGCGAACUGCGU
rnacentral:rRNA from 1 species